UUAGGUGGUUAUAGCGUAGGGGUUCCACCUCUUCCCAUUCCGAACAGAGAAGUUAAGCCCUAUUGCGCCGAUGGUACUGAUCUAAAGUUGGGAGAGUAGGUAACUGCCGUUU
rnacentral:rRNA from 1 species